ensembl:lncRNA
CAGCUGUGUCUCUCAUCGACCCACCCGGCCCCGGAACCGGAGGGUCUGGGCACCUUCUCUUAGACGCCGUGACCAACGUCGUGCCCACGGGCACACCUUGGCUGCUGCCACCCGCCAAGAGUGCUGCCGGGCUGCUCCAAGGCCUGUCCAAGCCCUAGAGGCUCCCCAAGCCGCAGAGGAGACGACGGCGCUUUCAGGAAAGCCGGUCCCUCGCUGCGGGUUCCUUAGCACAAAGUGGCCUUGUGCUAAAGGUCACAGGUUUCUCUGCGGCUUCACUGGAGCUUUCAAAGAAACAGCUAUGGUUCACGCUUUCAAAAGGGUGUCGCUGCAGGGGUCUGUGGUCUGUGGUCCAGAUGGACACCGACUGACUGAACCGGCGCCUCGCGAUGGGCAUGGAAGCCGCUUCUGCCCCCAAGCCCAUCAGAGGGCCGUGGUCAACCCCAUCCCCCGCCCCGUUUCCUCAACAGCCCCUCCAAAUCUCCAUCGCCUGCCUCAAGCGGGAUCGUCCUCAUACCGUUCGGAAGAGGGAUUCAGCUUGGCAGUUCCAGGGUCCUGGCUCCACGUGGGGUGCCCUGGGAACCAUCUGCUCAGCCUCCCCCAAAGAUCUCGUUCCCUCAGUUUGCCAGCUGCUUUCUCUUCGGCCCGUCUCUUUCCUUAAGCCGCUGAGCACACCCAAGUCUCUCCCAGCAUCCACACCUCUCCUUUCUGCUCCUCCACCACCGCCUUCUCUCUCUACCUUUCACGGCUAAGCUGCUGGCAAAAGACCUCGACUUCUCGUCAGCCAUCCAGUCAUCGCCUCGUCUCUCACCGGCUCCUCGAAAGACUCCCCAAAUCUCGUCGCCGUCACGUCCUAGCAGGAGGCCAGGGAACGCCCUUCGGUUCCUUCGCCUUCCUAAACUCUCUGUGGUGUCUGAGGAAUGCUGCCCACGUCUACAGUCUCUGAAAGUUCUCUCCACCCUCUUUCUCUGGGGGAUGGCCCCCUCCCCAGGUGCCCUUCCUAACCUCAGACCCUUCUGUCUCACUUUCCUCUGCAGCUUCUCCUCCCGACCACUUCUCAAAGGGUUCUGUUCUCGAAGGCAGGGUCUUCAGGGAACAGGAACCCCUCGGGUCUCAGAGCAAGCUCAUGUGCUCCUACGAUUCGACUCGCCCCCAGAUGCCCAGGGCUUCUGAGUGCGUACGACUGACAUCACCCUGCCCCUGACUCCACGCUGCUUUCUCUAACUGUCUGCUGGACGCACCUCUCAGGAUGUCCAAAGGCUUCUCAAAACUGACACGUCCAAAGGGGAGCCCGGUAUCCUCCAACAAAACCCUCCCCCUCCUCUUACCUUCCUUUCAUCACCUCAGAAAACCUCUGCCCAUCUCAUCACCCGGGAGCGAGAGGCCUCAAGGCCACGCUUGAGCUCUCUGUCUCACCCACUUCGCAGCCUCCCGACUCCCAAAGGGAGCCAAGCACCUUAACUUCUUUGCCGUCCCCACUGCUCUGCCGCAUGCCUUCCUGUCUCUUGCACGCAACCAGCCCAGUAGACUCCUUACUGAUCUUGCCGGCUGGCCUCCUGGCACACUGCCCCCCCUCCCCACUUGAAUCCAUCCUCCACACUGUUGGGAGGGUGACCCAAGAGGAAAACCCUGCCGUUACUGACACCACGGUGCCCAGCCCCCACAGGGGUGGACGUGGGCAAGAAAGUAACCAAAGUUUCUGAGGUUGUUUUGCAGAACAACAGGAAGACGGCAGAGCAGAGAGCAGCUUGAUGGCAGCCCCCUGGCCCCCGCCUGACUGGACAUCGUGCAGAGGCUUGGACCAGCUGAAAUGACCCAUCGCCAACUUUCUGCGUCACAGGCAGAGAUCCUUGGCAUGCACCACGUCGAACCCUACUGAGUUCGCUCUUGUGACCCGUGAAGAAAUGGGAUCCACCGUUGCACCUGAGCAGAGGACUCUUCAAGCUUCACCUGCAGCGCUCUCCUGAUCCUACCCCUUCCCUCUGGAGGCAAUAUAGUCCUUGUCUACAAAUAUUACUUAAGGCCAUUUAUGCUGUGACCUACAAAUUAGCCCAGCUUCAGCGGGGACCCCCUCCAGCAAAAGACUCUAGAAGCUGUCCUAAUUAAAAUCAACAAGCCAUCCCACUAGAGCCCUCAGAGACUCCUCUGGUGAAGAGGCUUCGGCAACCUCCUCUCAUGCUUCCUGGAAAACCCAGAACGUGGAACAACAGGAAGAUGGCAGAGCAGAGAGCAGCUUGAUGGCAGCCCCCCGGCCCCCCCCCGAGCGGACAUUGUGCAGACACUUGGACCAGCUGAAAUGACAGAUCGCCAACUUUCCACGUCACAGACAAAGAUCCACGGCAUGCAACACGUCGAACCCCACUGACUUCACACUUGUGACCCACGAAGAAACACAAACGACAGUCACACCUGAGCAGAGGACACUUCAAGCUUCACCUGCAGCGCUCUCCUGGUCCCCACCCCUACCCGAAACCGAAACCGCAGCUAAAAACCCCAGUAUUUUUCCUUUGAGUUUUGCAUAGCUACUCUCACCUCCUUGUCUGGCUGCCUCUUGAUCAUAAACCUCUUUCCUUGCUAUAAUCCUAACGUUUCACUGAUUGGCUUUGCUGCAAAAUUGGGUAAACAAACCUGAGUUUGUGUUUGGUUUCAUCGCUUCCCUGCUUGAAAUAAUUCAGGGUCACCCAUUUCCUGGAAGCUGAACUUUAGCUGAAUCUCCAAGACCUCGCCUCUGCAUCUUUCCUCCCUGCUCCUCACCCACAUACAGGCCACCCUCCUGCCACGUGCGAUUUUCUGCAAACCCCGAACAGGUUCUGAC